ACUCAAAUGAAUUGACGGGGACCUGCACAACCAGCGGAGCAUGUGGUUUAAUUCGAGACGAACCGAAGAACCUUACCAGGGUUUGACAUGUAAGGCAUUUAGUCCUGCAGAAACGUGGGAUGAUCCUUAUAAACAUAAGGAACUUUACACAGGUGUUGCAUGGCUGUCGUCAGCUCGUGCCGUAGGGUGUUCCCUUAAGUGGGGUAACGAGCGCAACCCCUUUCGUAUGUUGCAUUGCUCAUACGAUACUGCCGGCCUUUGGCCGGAGGAAGCGGGGACGAUGUCAAGUCAGCAUGGCCCUUAUACCCUGGGCUACACACAUACUACAAUGGAGCCGACAAUGGGUUGCCAAGCCGCAAGGCGGAGCUAAUCCCAUCAAACGGCUUCUCAGUUGGGAUUGUGGGCUGCAACUCGCCCACAUGAACAUGGAGUUGGUAGUAAUCGCGGGUCAGCUAAACCGCGGUGAAUACGUUCUCAGGUCUUGUACACACCGCCCGU
rnacentral:rRNA from 1 species